GCCCAAGUGGCGGAACGGUAGACGCGCUCGUUUCAGGGGCGAGUGGUUAACAGCCGUAGGGGUUCAAAUCCCCUCUUGGGCACCA
rnacentral:tRNA from 1 species